rnacentral:rRNA from 1 species
CCUACGGGAGGCAGCAGUGGGGGAUAUUGCACAAUGGAGGAAACUCUGAUGCAGCGACGCCGCGUGAGGGAAGAAGGUCGUCGGAAUGGAAACCGCUGUCUGUGGGGAAGAAAAUUACGGUACCCAAAGAGUACUCUCCGGCCAACUUCGUUCCAGCAGCCGCGGUAAUACGUAGGGAGCGAGCGUGGUCCGGAUUUACUGGGGUAAAGGGGGGCGUAGGCGGGGGAGAAAGUUGAAUGGUAAAUCUACCGUCUUAACUGGUAACUGCGGUCAAAACGUCUUGUCUUUAGUGAAGUAGAGGCAGGCGGAAUUCCUAGUGUAGCGGUGAAAUGCGUAGAUAUUAGGAGGAACCCCAGUGGCGAAGGCGGCCUGCUGGGCUGUAACUGACGCUGAGGCUCGAAAGCGUGGGGAGCAAACAGGAUUAGAUACCCGGGUAGUC